AUCCUCUUAAGGUCUACUUAAGGUCUAGCCUCGGUGGUUGAACGGUUUGCACUAGCAGUACAUACUAGAUCUAUGGUUUGCACUGUGAGCGCUGGAUGAGGAGGUCCCGGAUUCGAUUCCCGGUAGGACCAAUUUGGGAAACGAAUUUUUCCAAAUUGGUCUGUGUGUUCUGGGAAGUGCCCCAGAAUGAACUCCGUUGCUCUGGGACUCAUAGUACAUGACAGCGAGCAACACCAAAGACGCUCCUUUGCCGCCCACAUAGGUGGUGCAGGCAGCCGCGCACGCUUCAAAUGGAACGCAAUACCCCACCUCACCUGCAUCCUUUUCACUUAGCCACUUGAAACGCUGUGGUGAGAGGUCUACCGGCGGACUUGAUUUCACUGGAAUUGAUAAAAGCAAAGUGUACAUACUACGUAUAUCUUCAACCCGCCGGCGCUCCAACCGUUGUCAAUGGAUUCAAACACAUCCACCGCGGUGUCUGGAUGUUCUGAACAAAAGAAUACAAUAAACCUACAUUUAUACUCUUAAUUUCAAUCCUCAUAUCGUCUCGCCGCCGGUGAAAAAGCACCUAUAGAGUUGAUAAUUUGUGGAAACUUUAUAUCAGACACGAAAGGAGUUUUGCAUAAAAUGCAUAACUCCUCAGGCACCCAAUAAAAGUAAAUACAUACACAAUACUAUUUUUAUAUUCAACCUGUCGCAUA